rnacentral:rRNA from 1 species
AUUGAGCGCUGGCGGCAUGCCUUACACAUGCAAGUCGAACGGUAACAGGUCUUCGGAUGCUGACGAGUGGCGAACGGGUGAGUAAUACAUCGGAACGUGCCCAGACGUGGGGGAUAACGAGGCGAAAGCUUUGCUAAUACCGCAUACGAUCUAAGGAUGAAAGCAGGGGACCGCAAGGCCUUGUGCGUUUGGAGCGGCCGAUGGCAGAUUAGGUAGUUGGUGGGAUAAAAGCUUACCAAGCCGACGAUCUGUAGCUGGUCUGAGAGGACGACCAGCCACACUGGGACUGAGACACGGCCCAGACUCCUACGGGAGGCAGCAGUGGGGAAUUUUGGACAAUGGGCGAAAGCCUGAUCCAGCAAUGCCGCGUGCAGGAUGAAGGCCUUCGGGUUGUAAACUGCUUUUGUACGGAGCGAAAAGGCUCUGGCUAAUACCUGGGGCACAUGACGGUACCGUAAGAAUAAGCACCGGCUAACUACGUG